GGGGCCUACGGGAGGCAGCAGUGGGGAAUUUUGGACAAUGGGGGCAACCCUGAUCCAGCAAUGCCGCGUGAGUGAAGAAGGCCUUCGGGUUGUAAAGCUCUUUUGUCAGGGAAGAAACGGUGGGGGCUAAUAUCCUCUGCUAAUGACGGUACCUGAAGAAUAAGCACCGGCUAACUACGUGCCAGCAGCCGCGGUAAUACGUAGGGUGCAAGCGUUAAUCGGAAUUACUGGGCGUAAAGCGUGCGCAGGCGGUUGUGCAAGACAGAUGUGAAAUCCCCGGGCUCAACCUGGGAAUUGCAUUUGUGACUGCACGGCUAGAGUGUGUCAGAGGGGGGUAGAAUUCCACGUGUAGCAGUGAAAUGCGUAGAUAUGUGGAGGAAUACCGAUGGCGAAGGCAGCCCCCUGGGAUAACACUGACGCUCAUGCACGAAAGCGUGGGGAGCAAACAGGAUUAGAUACCCUGGUAGUCCACGCCCUAAACGAUGU
rnacentral:rRNA from 1 species